rnacentral:lncRNA from 1 species
UUGGUGCCAUGGUGUUCGUCGUCGACGCACUCGCGCUCAGGCUCAUGGGAAGGUCCAGCGAUGUGUUUGAAGAUUGGAGCGUGCCCUCGAUAGAAAGAAGGGAGGCAUCGAUUCUCUCCAGCGAUGUGUUUCCAUCACAGGCACCCUCGCUCAAGGCUCUCGUCAACUCCAAGCGAGAGGCGCCCAUCGAUCUUCAGGUAUGUUCUCUUCUCUCUCUAGGAAUGCUUGCUUUAGAGAAACAAGAACUAACAAGUCCGGAUGAUCUCUCGCUUGAUAAUCCGAACCUCUACUACUGCCGGCUUCUGGAACACAACUCGAAAGUUUGAAGUUUUGUUGUCUGAUUUCCACUCGAAACUAAUCACUGGUGUUUCCUCACACCUGUUUGGAUCACUAUUAUCACUACUGCCGUCAAAUGGCUAUGAGGUAGUCGCAGAGCUCGAUGAACUGGAUGAAACUUUUCCAACUGAUGGUGGUUCCUCCAAUGGUGAUUCUUCAGGCUUGGCUGCUACCACAGUUAAGGUCUGGUAUCAGUUUUUUCUUGCUGCACUGCUUUGUCUAUAUGGGACUGAUGAAAAUUUCUUAAACCAUGCUGUAUCCUCAGAUACUUGGGGUUGUGGAGGAUAAUCAUGAGCUACAACUCCCGGCUGCUGAAAGGAGUGAAUCGUAGUAUCGAUCAUCCCCCCAUGAAUCAAAAGGAAUACAAGAAAUAGGAAAGGAGGAAAGGAGAGAAGGGAACAUGAAAAACCUUCCAUACUCUGUUAGCCACGUCCCUUAUAUCCUACGUUCCGUAUGAUCCAGUCCGUAACACCCUCCCUUACGAAGAACCGACUCUAUCCUCAGUGUCUGAAGGGAACACUGGCUGCCACUGAAAAAGUGUGCGCAAAGAUUCGAGCUCAGCCUGCGUGAUCCAAGUGUCCAUUUCAGAACCCGUUCCCUGCCAACGGAUGAGAAAGUGAGGGACUGCUCGAUGCUCGAAGGAUCCGAUCUGGAGCCAAGAGCUGCUUAUCUUCGAAAGUUACCAAAGGAAGAGGAACUGUGGCCAAAGGUGGAAGAGGUCCGAAGUGCUGCUUCAAUUCGGAAACGUGGAACGCAUCAUGGAGUUUUGUUGAAGCGGGAAGCUUUAGACGAAAAGCAACUUCGUUGAUCUUC